CUUUUCUAGGGCCGGUUCCUGUGGCAUACGGAGCUUCCCAGGCUAGGGGUCUAAUCAGAGCUGUAGCCACCAGCCUACGCCAGAGCCACAGCAACACGGGAUCCAAGCCACGUCUGCAACCUACACCACAGCUCACAGCAACACCGGAUCCUUAACCCACUGAGCAAGGCCAGGGAUCGAACCCACAACCUCAUGGUUCCUAGUCAGAUUCGUUAACCACUGUGCCACGACAGAAGCUCCUGAAUUAUAUACUUUAAAACAAGAGCCAGAGUUCUCUUAUGGCUCAGUGGGUUAAGGAUCCGGCAAUGUCACUGAGGCAUCUUGGGCCACUGUUGUGGCAUGGGUUCAAUCCCUAACCUGGGAACUUCUGCAUGCUGUAAGCAAAGCCAUAAAGUGGGGGGGGGGGAUAUUUUAUGUUAUGUAAAUUAUACCUCAAUAUAACUGUGAAGGAGAAGGGAAAGGAGGGACGGGGAAGCAGAGGGACUACAGUGCAUCUGAGAUGAUGGAUAAAAUGGAUAGAUCUCAAAGAGGUAAUCUGACUAAAGUUUCAGCUAGAUAGAUGGCAGAACCAAUACUGAAACCUAAGCUUGACUACAAAAUCCUUAUUCUUUCUACAUCCAGAAGGGUACAUCAGAAGCAGUAGAAGCAAGGUAUAUCUUACUCAACUUCCCAAGGAUAAAUUCAAUCCAUCAGUAAAAUAGUAUAUGGGACAUACACAAAAGGUUCCUUUAAAACUGAGAAUUAAGAGAUUUAAAUGUAAGAGGUAAAUCAUCUGUAGAAUGAAAAAGUUAAAUAGACAAAAUACCAACAAAGUGGCAUGGGAACCAGGAGGACCCGCAUCUUGUCCAUGACUGUAUGAAAGCUAAAAUCAAAUUAACUGAACAGUGAGGAGAGAUGAAACAAAUUAAAUCUGGCACUUUGUCUCCAACACUGUCUCUGGAUAGUGUUCUGACCCAGAUCUGCUGUAGUGCAGCUAUAUAUAUCAGGCUCCAUAAUACUGACAACUAUGAUGAUCCAACUCGUUCUGAGUUAAUUCCAGUUUUACUAGUCAAUCUUCAGGUUAUAAUCUGCGUCUGACAUAGGUCUUCCCACAGGAGGAGAAUGCAAUGACUGAGAAAUGAAAGUUUUCAUAAAAAAACAUGCUGCUAAUAAACAGACUAGGCUAGAUUAGAAUUCAGAUCUUGGUCUCCAAAUCUAGUUGUUCCCUAAACUUUAGACACUGUAAUUGUUUAAAAGUCCAACCCAAUAAAACCAAGAAAGCCUGCACUUCUGCCAGAAAAACCAAUGAUUAUUUUCUGCAAUCUAAAUAGCAAUCAGAGAAAUCCUUUAAUAAAUAAGAUAAUCUUACAGGGAUCAGGAUAAACUGUAACUGAGAGAAAUGUUCAAAUUCGAAUAAAGGAAGGAAAGUUAUAAACAAAAACUUAUAAACAACACUAAAGGAAGUGCUAACAGAAACAAAACUUCCAUUUAAACUAAAUGAAGAAUUUCAAAUGUAAAUAAAAACAAAGUGCCUGCCUUCUCUUAAAAACUUGUUAGAAAACCUAUGAAAUGGCUUACAGAUAGGAAGGACUGAAGUUAAUAAUUUGGUUUCAUUACAGAAGUGGUAUUAAGAAGUAUACAGCAUAGGUCACAGAGGCGGCUCAGUUCCAAUAUUGCAGUGGCUGUGGCAUAAGCCUACAGUUUCAGCUGCAAUGUGCCCCUAGCCUGGGAAUUUCCAUAUGCCACAGGUGCAGCCCGAAAAAUAAUAAUAAUAAAGGGUAAAUAAACUUAAAAAAAAAAAAAGACGGAUAUAGCAAUUCCACUUUAGGUAUACACACCUAAAAAAUAUGAGGCAUAUGUUCAUCAAGAGACUUGUACAAGAUUGUUCACAAUAACUUUAUCAUAAUAGCCAAAAACUGUCAAAUGUCCAUGCAUCAAAAAAAUGGAUUACUACAUUUUGACAUAUUCAUACAGUAAAAUACUACAUAGCAAUAAAAAAAAAGAACUGCCAUUACAUGCCACAAUAUGGAUAAAUCCCAUAAACAUCAUGUUAAGCAAAAGAAGCCAAAGUACAAAAUUAAUGAUGGCUAUAAAAGCUGAAAUAGGUUGGGGGAGGGAAAAAUAACUAAGAAGAGGUAUAGAGAAAUUUUGUGGUGCUGGAAAUGUUUUAGAACUUGAUCUGGUAGGUGGUUACAUGGUAAAAAUUCAUCAAAUUUAUGAGCAGUGUACUCUACAUAUUAACGUGUAUUUUUUUUUUUUUUAAUGGCUGUACCAAUGGCCCAUGCAAGUUCCUGGAUCAGGGACUGAAAGCUGCAUCUGUGACCUAUGCCACAG
rnacentral:lncRNA from 1 species